GGUUAAGUUAGAAAGGGCGCACGGUGGAUGCCUUGGCACUAGGAGCCGAUGAAGGACGGGACUAACACCGAUAUGCUCCGGGGAGCUGUAAGUAAGCUUUGAUCCGGAGAUUUCCGAAUGGGGGAACCCGCCAUCCGUAAUGGGGUGGCAUCUUUACCUGAAUCCAUAGGGUAUUGAAGGCAGACCCGGGGAACUGAAACAUCUAAGUACCCGGAGGAAGAGAAAGCAAACGCGAUUCCCCAAGUAGCGGCGAGCGAAACGGGACAUAGCCCAAACCGGAAGGCUUGCCUUCCGGGGUUGUAGGACACUCUACAUGGAGUUACAAAGGAACGGGGUAGGCGAAGAGGCCUGGAAAGGCCUGCCGGAGAAGGUAAAAGCCCUGUAGCUGAAACUUCGUUCCCUCCUGAGUGGAUCCUGAGUACGGCCGGACACGUGAAAUCCGGUCGGAAUCCGGGAGGACCAUCUCCCAAGGCUAAAUACUCCCUAGUGACCGAUAGUGAACCAGUACCGUGAGGGAAAGGUGAAAAGCACCCCGGAAGGGGAGUGAAAAAGAUCCUGAAACCGUGUGCCUACAAGUAGUCAGAGCCCGUUCAUGGGUGAUGGCGUGCCUUUUGUAGAAUGAACCGGCGAGUUACGGUCCCAUGCAAGGUUAAGCCGAAAAGGCGGAGCCGCAGCGAAAGCGAGUCUGAAUAGGGCGAAUGAGUAUGUGGCCGUAGACCCGAAACCAGGUGAUCUACCCAUGUCCAGGUUGAAGUCCAGGUAACACUGGAUGGAGGACCGAACCCACGUACGUUGAAAAGUGCGGGGAUGAGGUGUGGGUAGCGGUGAAAUUCCAAUCGAACCUGGAGAUAGCUGGUUCUCUCCGAAAUAGCUUUAGGGCUAGCCUCACGUAGUAAGAGUCUUGGAGGUAGAGCACUGUUUGGACUAGGGGCCCCCAUCGGGUUACCGAAUUCAGACAAACUCCGAAUGCCAAAGACUUAUCCGUGGGAGUCAGACUGCGAGUGAUAAGAUCCGUAGUCAAGAGGGAAACAGCCCAGACCGCCAGCUAAGGUCCCAAAGUAUCCGUUAAGUGGAAAAGGAUGUGGAGUUGCUUAGACAACCAGGAUGUUGGCUUAGAAGCAGCCACCAUUUAAAGAGUGCGUAAUAGCUCACUGGUCGAGUGACUCUGCGCCGAAAAUGUACCGGGGCUAAACGGAUCACCGAAGCUGCGGAUUGACAUCUUCGAUGUCAGUGGUAGGAGAGCGUUCCAAGGGCGUUGAAGCAGGACCGGAAGGACCUGUGGAGCGCUUGGAAGUGAGAAUGCCGGUAUGAGUAGCGAAAGAUGGGUGAGAAUCCCAUCCACCGAAUGCCUAAGGUUUCCUGAGGAAGGCUCGUCCGCUCAGGGUUAGUCGGGACCUAAGCCGAGGCCGAAAGGCGUAGGCGAUGGACAACAGGUUGAUAUUCCUGUACCACCUCUUCAUCGUUUGAGCAAUGGGGGGACGCAGGAGGAUAGGGUAAGCGCACUAUUGGACAUGUGCGUCUAAGCAGUUAGGCCGGGAAGUUGGCAAAUCCGCUUCCCAUAUAAGGCUGAGCUGUGACAGCGAGGGAAAUUUAGUACCGAAGUUCCUGAUUCCACACUGCCAAGAAAAGCCUCUAGCGAGAUGAAAGGUGCCCGUACCGCAAACCGACACAGGUAGGCGAGGAGAGAAUCCUAAGGUGAGCGAGAGAACUCUCGUUAAGGAACUCGGCAAAAUGACCCCGUAACUUCGGGAGAAGGGGUGCUCUUUAGGGUUAAUCGCCCUGAAGAGCCGCAGUGAAUAGGCCCAGGCGACUGUUUAGCAAAAACACAGGUCUCUGCGAAGCCGCAAGGCGAAGUAUAGGGGCUGACGCCUGCCCGGUGCUGGAAGGUUAAGAGGAGGGGUUAGCUCACGCGAAGCUCUGAAUCGAAGCCCCAGUAAACGGCGGCCGUAACUAUAACGGUCCUAAGGUAGCGAAAUUCCUUGUCGGGUAAGUUCCGACCCGCACGAAAGGCGUAACGAUCUGGGCACUGUCUCAACGAGAGACUCGGUGAAAUUAUAGUACCUGUGAAGAUGCAGGUUACCCGCGACAGGACGGAAAGACCCCGUGGAGCUUUACUGCAGCCUGAUAUUGAAUUUUGGUACAGCUUGUACAGGAUAGGUAGGAGCCUUUGAAGCCGGAGCGCCAGCUUCGGUGGAGGCGUCGGUGGGAUACUACCCUGGCUGUAUUGAAAUUCUAACCCGCACCCCUUACCGGGGUGGGAGACAGUGUCAGGCAGGCAGUUUGACUGGGGCGGUCGCCUCCUAAAAUGUAACGGAGGCGCCCAAAGGUUCCCUCAGAAUGGUUGGAAAUCAUUCGCAGAGUGUAAAGGCACAAGGGAGCUUGACUGCGAGACCUACAAGUCGAGCAGGGACGAAAGUCGGGCUUAGUGAUCCGGUGGUUCCGCAUGGAAGGGCCAUCGCUCAACGGAUAAAAGCUACCCCGGGGAUAACAGGCUUAUCUCCCCCAAGAGUCCACAUCGACGGGGAGGUUUGGCACCUCGAUGUCGGCUCAUCGCAUCCUGGGGCUGUAGUCGGUCCCAAGGGUUGGGCUGUUCGCCCAUUAAAGCGGUACGCGAGCUGGGUUCAGAACGUCGUGAGACAGUUCGGUCCCUAUCCGUCGUGGGCGCAGGAAAUUUGAGAGGAGCUGUCCUUAGUACGAGAGGACCGGGAUGGACGCACCGCUGGUGUACCAGUUGUCUUGCCAAAGGCAUCGCUGGGUAGCUAUGUGCGGACGGGAUAAGUGCUGAAAGCAUCUAAGCAUGAAGCCCCCCUCAAGAUGAGAUUUCCCACAGUGUUAAACUGGUAAGAUCCCUGAAAGACGAUCAGGUUGAUAGGUCAGAGGUGGAAGCGCGGCGACGCGUGGAGCUGACUGAUACUAAUAGAUCGAGGACUUAACCAU
rfam:Bacillus sp. B-jedd genome assembly, contig: CONTIG000001